rnacentral:rRNA from 1 species
UACGGAGGAUGCAAGCGUUAUCCGGAUUUAUUGGGUUUAAAGGGUGCGCAGGUUGUUUGAUAAGUCAGUGGUGAAAGUCUGUCGCUUAACGGUAGGAUUGCCAUUGAUACUGUUGGACUUGAAUAUGGAUGAGGUAGGCGGAAUGUGUAGCGUAGCGGUGAAAUGCAUAGAUAUUACACAGAACACCGAUUGCGAAGGCAGCUUACUAAUCCAUCAUUGACGCUGAGGCACGAAAGCGUGGGGAUCAAACAGGA